CCUACGGGGGGCUGCAGUGGGGAAUAUUGGACAAUGGGGGCAACCCUGAUCCAGCCAUGCCGCGUGUGUGAAGAAGGCCCUCGGGUUGUAAAGCACUUUCAGUGAGGAAGAACGCCUGGUGGUUAAUACCCAUCAGGAAAGACAUCACUCACAGAAGAAGCACCGGCUAACUCCGUGCCAGCAGCCGCGGUAAUACGGAGGGUGCGAGCGUUAAUCGGAAUUACUGGGCGUAAAGCGCGCGUAGGUGGCUUGAUAAGCCGGUUGUGAAAGCCCCGGGCUCAACCUGGGAAUGGCAUCCGGAACUGUCAAGCUAGAGUGCAGGAGAGGAAGGUAGAAUUCCCGGUGUAGCGGUGAAAUGCGUAGAGAUCGGGAGGAAUACCAGUGGCGAAGGCGGCCUUCUGGACUGACACUGACACUGAGGUGCGAAAGCGUGGGUAGCAAACAGGAUUAGAUACCCGUGUAGUC
rnacentral:rRNA from 1 species